UACGUAGGGGUCAAGCGUUGUCCGGAUUUAUUGGGCGUAAAGCGCCCGCAGGCGGCUUGCCAAGUUCGAUGUGAAAUCUCCCGGCUCAACUGGGAGGGUGCAUCGAAAACUGGCAGGCUUGAGGCAGGGAGAGGGAUGUGGAAUUCCAGGUGUAGUGGUGAAAUGCGUAGAGAUCGGCAGGAACACCCAGGGAGAAAUCAGCCGCCUGGGCAAGUGCUGACGCUGAGGUGCGAAAGCGUGGGGAGCGAACCGG
rnacentral:rRNA from 1 species